rnacentral:tRNA from 1 species
GGACCCAUAGCCAAGCUGGUUAAGGCAAGGGACUGCAACUCCCUGAUCGUUGGUUCGAAUCUGACUGGGUCCU